rnacentral:rRNA from 1 species
AGCUCCAAUAGUGUAUAUUAAAGUUGUUGCGAUUAAAAAGCUCGUAGUUGAAUUUUAAAAUGUUCUCAGUGGAUGUCCCCAUAAAUUACUUGGGAGUACUAAACCGAGACUUUUUCUCCAAAGACUUCACACACCUUAGGGAAGUGAUUGUUCUUUACUUUACUUUGAAAAAAUUAGAGUGUUUAAAGCAGGCGUAAAUUUCGCCUUUGAAUAUAUUAGCAUGGGAUAAUAAAAUAGGACCUCGGUUUUAUUUUGUUGGUUUCUAAGCUGCGGUAAUGAUUAAUAGGGAUAGUUGGGGUCAUUAGUAUUUAAGGGCAAGGGGUGAAAUCCUAGGAUUCCUUAAAGACUCUCUACUGCGAAAGCAUUUGACAAGGAUGUUUUCAUUAAUCAAGAACGAAAG